AUUACACUCCCUCAAUUCACCCGCACCGUGAUGUCUCCUCUGCAGACCAGCCCCCGCGACCUCAACUCCUCGACCACGCUCCACCAGACUAAAUCGUGCACAACCAGACGUGGGCGCAGACCAGACUUGCUAGCCCUCUCCCCCGACCACAAUUCGAUGACCUCUGCUCCCCGAAGACCAAACCCCGGCGUCAUCCGUUGUGCUUACAGCCACGCGCCUAACGGCUUUCCUUAUAGCCACACGCUCUCGCAUUUGUCGGUGAGAAUUUCGUCCUCUUGUUACUCAUACGAAGUUUGUUUUUAUUGUUGUGUUACUUAUACGAGGUCAUAAUCUUUUGUUUCACCAAUCAAACUCCGUGAAUUUUGUAAUGUUACUCUUCUUCAAUUGUCGUAGUAGGCACAUGGGUUGGAAGUUGAGAGAGGCAAGCCAUGAAAGGUCGACUCCUGAAUACGAAUGAAUUGGUUUGGCUUCACAGUCUUCAGUAGCAAGCAGUCACCAGAAUUGAAUUUGGAGAACAAAGUGAUGUUACUUUUCUUUGAUUCAGGAAACCUAUUGAACUAGCUCUCCCUCUAGACUUGAUUUAUUUGCAGCUCGUUUGAUUUCAAAAUUAAAUUUUAAAAUUUUAACUUUCACUUUAACUCAACACACAAACAAGUGGGCCCCAUAGAUUAUAAAACAUGCAAUUUCAUUAUAAUCAAUUAUCUACAUAAUCAAAACAGGUGGGGUCCACAACGGCUCAUUUUUAUUUGUCAUUUUUCACAAUUAAAAUCACAGUUACAAUUUCAAAAUUUUAAUUCUGAAAUCAAAUGGAUUGUUAGUGUUUCUGCUAUGGACUAAGCAAACAUGGUUUGCGGCGUUUUGGGUUUUAGAUGAAUGAAUAGUGCAUUUUCAAAUUGCUGGGGAGAAAGAGUGAUGAAAAUGGUUUUGGAAUCACAGCUGAGAUCAGAACUCAUUUUGAAUAGUGUAGAUUCGAUUAGGUUGAUUUUAUCCAAACAGGAUGAUGAUAAUUUUGUUAUUGGUCAUGUUCAUUAUGAUUUUUUGUUUUUGCUUUAUAUUGUUGAUCAACAUGCAGAUAUUGAUCAGUAAACGUCAUAAAUAGAAGCUGCAUCCCAAAAGGCAUAUUCUAGUAAGUAGAAUAAACUUUACAUCGUUAUUCAGUAAUAAUAAUAAUAAUAAUAAAGUUUACAUCGUUCACCUAAAAUUAACGGUUACAUCCAAGACUCAUGAGUACAUAUAUAAGUUGCAUCCUAAAAUUAUAUCUGGAAUAACGAUAUCGAUACAUAGGAUGUUCUAUUCAAGAGUAAUUUCACGAUAGUAACAUCUUCUUUGUGUUUUCUUCACCAGCAAUUACCAAAUAUCAAACAAUAGGAGGCAUGUCACCGGGAAAAAAGAUACGCAGCUGCCUUUCAUCUUUACAGGAUGUUUUUGGUCUUCAGACUUUAUAACUGCAACCGCAAACUCAUUAGAAUAUGCUCUGCGACUUACUCUUGACAGAUUCCCGGACUCCUGCAGAAGUAGAAGGAAGUAUGUGCACAUCUCAUGUUUCAUUGUCGAAAGCAUAGCUAACGAUUUAAAUUGGAAAGAACUAUGCUUUCAGUUGCAGAAUGAACUCAUCUCGUCUAUCAUGGAAAACCCCAGAAGGCGAACGAGUUCUGCAAAAUCAAAAGGUGCUGUAGUGUGGUCUGCGGGAAGCUGAGGUUGUUAGGAUAUGCUUAGGGAGAGGGAGUCGCGGGUACGGUCUCCACCAUCAUCCGGUUGAGGAGAUGGGAUCGCACUAGAUAAGUCAACUCGAAUCAGAACUGGAACUUGCAAAGUCUGAGCUCGUUUAGCAACAAGAGAAGACACAAACACUCUCUGGAGAAGCACAAAAGCUUGCCCAGGAAAAUGCGAAACUCCAGUAUCGGAUAGAGCAUCUUGUCCGGGCUAUUAAAGAGGCUGAUCGAAGGUUAGAGGGGUAGUGAGAUUUCUUUAUUUUCCCUGAAGCACCUCCACACCAUUAGCAGCAGGGCAAUCUUAUCAUUGUCUGAUUACAAAAGUUUUUGGAAAGGUGACAGAAGGUUUCGAUUAUACUGUAGACUGAUUCAAAGAAAUCUAAUUCUUGUAAUUACAUUCUUGCCCACCUGAUCGGUUGCCAUAUUAGUCAAAGAUUGGCUUAGUUCUGCCUUCGUAUAGUGCAGUGUUUUUCCAUUAUGAGAUUCUCGUGUGUGCUCGGUUUCUUCGUGACAUAUACCUGAUUGAAACGAGUGAGAAGUCUGCAGAUGCCAAAUGUUGACAAUUUUACUGUUUAUUCGUUGAAUGCUGUCAAAAUUUAUCUAUUUUAUGGAACUAAUUCUGUAGU